AGUGAACGCUGGCGGUAGGCCUAACACAUGCAAGUCGAACGGCAGCACAGUAAGAGCUUGCUCUUACGGGUGGCGAGUGGCGGACGGGUGAGGAAUACAUCGGAAUCUACUUUUUCGUGGGGGAUAACGUAGGGAAACUUACGCUAAUACCGCAUACGACCUAUGGGUGAAAGCAGGGGAUCUUCGGACCUUGCGCGAUUGAAUGAGCCGAUGUCGGAUUAGCUAGUUGGCGGGGUAAAGGCCCACCAAGGCGACGAUCCGUAGCUGGUCUGAGAGGAUGAUACGCACCACUGGAACUGAGACACGGUCCAGACUCCUACGGGAGGCAGCAGUGGGGAAUAUUGGACAAUGGGCGCAAGCCUGAUCAAGCCAUACCGCGUGGGUGAAGAAGGCCUUCGGGUUGUAAAGCCCUUUUGUUGGGAAAGAAAAGCAGCAGGUUAAUACCCCGCUGUUCUGACGGUACCCAAAGAAUAAGCACCGGCUAACUUCGU
rnacentral:rRNA from 1 species